AUACGUAGGGUGCGAGCGUUGUCCGGAAUUACUGGGCGUAAAGAGCUCAUAGGUGGUUUGUCGCGUCGUCUGUGAAAUUCCGGGGCUUAACUCCGGGCGUGCAGGCGAUACGGGCAUAACUUGAGUACUGUAGGGGAGACUGGAAUUCCUGGUGUAGCGGUGAAAUGCGCAGAUAUCAGGAGGAACACCGGUGGCGAAGGGGGGUCGCUGGGCAGUAACGGACGCUGAGGAGCGAAAGCAUGGGUAGCGAACAGGAUUAGAUACCCUGGUAGUCCAUGCCGUAAACGGUGGGCGCUAGGUGUAGGGGUCUUCCACGACUUCUGUGCCGUAGCUAACGCAUUAAGCGCCCCGCCUGGGGAGUACGGCCGCAAGGCUAAAACUCAAAGGAAUUGACGGGG
rnacentral:rRNA from 1 species